AGUGAACGCUGGCGGUAGGCCUAACACAUGCAAGUCGAACGGCAGCACAGUAAGAGCUUGCUCUUACGGGUGGCGAGUGGCGGACGGGUGAGGAAUACAUCGGAAUCUACUUUUUCGUGGGGGAUAACGUGGGGAAACUUACGCUAAUACCGCAUACGACCUACGGGUGAAAGCAGGGGAUCUUCGGACCUUGCGCGAUUGAAUGAGUCGAUGUCGGAUUAGCUAGUUGGCGGGGUAAAGGCCCACCAAGGCGACGAUCCGUAGCUGGUCUGAGAGGAUGAUCAGCCACACUGGAACUGAGACACGGUCCAGACUCCUACGGGAGGCAGCAGUGGGGAAUAUUGGACAAUGGGCGCAAGCCUGAUCCAGCCAUACCGCGUGGGUGAAGAAGGCCUUCGGGUUGUAAAGCCCUUUUGUUGGGAAAGAAAAGCAGCAGGUUAAUACCCCGCUGUUCUGACGGUACCCAAAGAAUAAGCACCGGCUAACUUCGUG
rnacentral:rRNA from 1 species